ensembl:snoRNA SNORA73 Small nucleolar RNA SNORA73 family
CCAAUGUGGCUAUACCCGGGAGGUCACUUUCCCUAGGCUGUGUCCAAGUGGCAUAAGGGAGCACAGGGCUCUGCCCCCAUGAUGUACAGUCCCUUUCCAUGACAUUGGAGAUGAAGCUGGGCCUCAAGUCUGCACCUGCAUAUUCCUACAACUUCUUAGAGUCCUGUGGACUAUGAUGGAGGAGAUAAACCGUGCAGGAAACAGCC